AACGCGAAGAACCUUACCUGGGCUUGAACUACUGGAAGUAAGAUUCCGGAAACGGAAGAUGACCUGUCAAGUCAGGGACCAGCAGAGGUGCUGCAUGGCUGUCGUCAGCUCGUGUCGUGAGAUGUUGGGUUAAGUCCCGCAACGAGCGCAACCCUUGUCCUGUGUUGGCAUGCCGCAAGGCGCAACUCGCAGGAGACCGCCAGCGAUAAGCUGGAGGAAGGUGGGGAUGACGUCAAGUCAUCAUGGCCUUUAUGUCCAGGGCCACACACGUGCUACAAUGGGCGGUACAAAGCGCUGCCAACCCGCGAGGGGGAGCUAAUCGCCAAAAACCGUCCUCAGUUCGGAUUGCAGGCUGCAACUCGCCUGCAUGAAGCUGGAAUCGCUAGUAAUGCUAUAUCAGAACGAUAGCGUGAAUACGUUCCCGGGCCUUGUACACACCGGAGUA
rnacentral:rRNA from 1 species